UUCAGGCUGGCACACACAUAAAAAAACAAAGGUUAAUGCUUCUUGGGGCACAUUUCUUAGAGGGCUUGCCUAGUGUGUAAAUAAUGGACUUUUGUUUGUGUUACAUGACUAGUGACUUCACUGAAAAUCUGCACAAUUCA